ensembl:rRNA 5S_rRNA 5S ribosomal RNA
UCCAGCAGCCAUAUCACCCUACAACUCACAACUGGCAACCCACUGAAGCUAAGCAGGUGUGAGCCUGGUCAGUACCUGGAUGGGAGACCUCCUGGGAAAAACUAAGGUUGCUGCUGGAA